rnacentral:lncRNA from 1 species
UAUACUAUCCAUUUUUUAUCGGGUCCGGUUUGGGUCCGGAUAGGGUUCGGGUAGGGUCCGGAUCGGGUAUAGUAUAUCGGAUAUUUUGGACAGCUUUAGUAAUUUUCGGCUCAAUAGAGCGUUUGAUAACUCACUUUUAAAAUCUGCUUCUGCUUUUUAGAAUCAGAAAAAAAAUUUUGAGGGCCUCAGAAUCAGAAGCAGAAAAAAGCUGCUUCUUGAAAACUGAUUCUGAUUUUGGAUUUAAACUUCAAAAUUUUAUUUUUAUUUUAGUUUUAAUAUUUAAAUUUAAUUUUAAUUUUAAAUUUUAAAUUUUAAUUUUCAGAUUCAUUUUAAAAUUUUU